rnacentral:rRNA from 1 species
GUUGGUGAGAUAGUAGCUCACCAAGGCGACGAUGCAUAGCCGACCUGAGAGGGUGAUCGGCCACACUGGGACUGAGACACGGCCCAGACUCCUACGGGAGGCAGCAGUAGGGAAUCUUCCGCAAUGGACGAAAGUCUGACGGAGCAACGCCGCGUGAGUGAUGAAGGGUUUCGGCUCGUAAAACUCUGUUGUUAAGGAAGAAUACUUGAGGUAGUAACUGGCCUUGAGAUGACGGUACUUAACCAGAAAGCCACGGCUAACUACGUGCCAGCAGCCGCGGUAAUACGUAGGUGGCAAGCGUUAUCCGGAAUUAUUGGGCGUAAAGCGCGCGUAGGCGGUAAAAUAAGUCUGAUGUGAAAGCCCCCGGCUCAACCGGGGAGGGUCAUUGGAAACUGUCAAACUUGAGUGCAGAAGGGGAGAGUGGAAUUCCAUGU